CAGCAGCGCAGCGCCGCCGUUCGGUCGCCGAAACUAAACGUAGUACGUCACGCGUCGGACGCCGGCGGCGCCAUCUAGCGGCCCGCUGUGAGCGCCGCAGCGCGCUCCUCACCUGCCUCGCGCGACAUUUCUCCGUCGCGCUCGCACCAGUGCACGUAGAAAUAACCUCAAAAUUCUCGCGUACCAACCAAUCACAAAAAUAUUGUAUCUCGCAGUAUUAAUAACAGUGACUACUAUCUCAAAGACGGUUAACAGUGUUAUAAAUGUGACGUAAUCCCGUCACGGCUCUGGAUUAUCCCUGCAGUGUUGCUUCAUAGUGAUUUUGGCGAAAUCGAAAGUUUUCAGGACGAAUGUUCCUUUUGGUGGGCUGUCGUCGGGCAGCCCCAAAAUUUUGUGCCAAUAUGUGGUGGUUUCUAUUAUGUGUUUUGAGCGUUAAAACAUUGACAGUAUUUGCGUCGAAAGGCAAUGGAACUGUAUCCGAAUCAAUAUGCUCCCUGAAGCAGUUCCAGUGCGCCAACGGCCAGUGUAUACCGAUCAUGUGGGUGUGCGACCUCGAGAAGGACUGCGAAGAUAACUCCGAUGAAGAAAUUGAGGAAUGCAAAAAAGGUAAGUCUAAAAUAGGAAAAUCAGAUAUCAGUUCAACUCGCGACCCCGGCUCUCGUUGAGUACAACACUAGUCAGGCAAUCCUGAUGAAUACGUGUGACACAGACUUCCGUAUAUUAAUUUAGGUCAAGUCACCAAAUUCCGAGCAAAGAGUUUGGCUUCUUAGAAAAAUUUGUAAGAAACCAGGAUAAAAACAACCAAGCGAUUAUUGAAAAUUGCGAAAAUGUAUCACAUGUGGUAGUACUUACGGAAGUUGGGCUAAUAACGUCACAUGUUGCUAAAACGUGAAUUGAUUUAAUCCACGGCUUUAAUAUUCCUCGUAAAGAAUCGACGUUAUUUUAGCGCAGUUUAAGUAUUCUUUAUCUAGUGAAUUAUUUAUUUGCUGCGAAACAGGUGUACCUAUGCAAUUCAUUUGCUAGAAAUGUGUAACUAUAACAGUGUAUUCAACACUACAGAACAUUAGAGCAAUUAAGGGCGCUCAUUAUUAUAACUAUCAGCUAAUAUUAUUUUAUUAUAAUGAGGGAUUUUGGUAUGAUACGAGUAGGUACAGCGAACAAAUAAAAAUAUUCGAAUGCACAAAUAACCGAGUAGGACAAGAAUUAGUGUGAUCCACAAAUGAUUAUUCUGAAACUGGGUGUCGCACUACGCGCAUGUACGCAUGUAACUUGAAUUUUAGCGAAACCCCCUUCGAAACAAGGAUUUCAUUCCUUAGUGCAGGUGUAAUUGCCUUUGAGACACAUAUUUAUCGGAAUAUAAAUAACGGUUUACCCAUCUCCCGACAAGUUUCAAUCCUACACGGAGUCAAGAAUCAGUUUGGUCCCAAACUAUUCGACCGAUUCCGAUAGAUACGCAGGGCUUAUCAAAUAAUUAUGAUCUGCAAAACAAAAGCUAUUAUAAAAUACAAAUAACUAGACGUUUUAAAAACACGUAUCGGUUCUAAAACAAGCAUUUCAAAACAUUGCUUUUGUCGGUACAUAAUUAAACUUCGACCUCUUCUACUAGUUUCAAUCGAAACAAAUAUGUCCAUAAUAUUUAUGGCCAUCAAAUGAACUCUAUAUCGAUGAUUAAUUACGAAGCAAUUUAGACUGAUAAUAACUAGAAUUGUAAUAGAAUAUCAAGCGUAUCUGUCCAGCGCGAGUUUGUUUACCAAGCUGUGACGUCAUGUCCAAACAAAUCACGGUGGCGUGCAUUUGAGGUGAUUAAUUAUUACCAUACACUAUGCCAUAUACUCUACACACUACAGUCCAGUCACUGCAGAUGUAGGUACCUUUUGUUAUGACUACGUCGUUUGUUAAUUGUGAGAAAUGAAAUACAUUAAUAACAAUCAAGGCUGCAUUCAACGAAUACAUUAAUGAAAUUUCAUUGCUCAUCUAGAAUAUUCAGUAGGCGAUUUUACAUUCGAAGAGGGUACAGUUAUGAUCGAUGGUGGUUUUAUUUACGAAAUAUCGAAAUGAUGUAUCGUUCAAGUGAUCAAAAACACAAAUGACUAAAGGAUAGUUCAUUGUAGGCUUCAGGAGAGCAAUUUGACGCUUGUUCAGAGGUCCACGAGGUUCCUUCAAUAUCGGUCGCCAUUGACAAAGACAUCUCGCAUUGACGUGCUAUUAAUAUUUAUUGGCGAAAUAGCUUCGGUAACUUGACAGCCUCCCCCUAAUUUUAGAUCAAUUGGCCUCUCUCAAGUUUAUUCAAUUUAAUUUGCAGAACCAAUUUGUGGGAGGGCAAAAUCAAUACUUUGCAGAUUUGCGUGGGGUCGUAAUAUAAUUUAAUUAAUUAUCGAAUUUCGUACCGCGAAAUGUUUAAUGUGUGCUUUACAAUAGAGGGCUUGUAAUAAACAAAGCGAGCGUUUAAUCCCCGGUCAUAAGUUAUAAUGUUUGUAUUACGAGCAGACGUAAGAUUAAGCCGCGAAACUAUUAUUUUAAUGCUGUUAGCUGUAAUUUUUUCUCAUUUCUUCGCUUUAUUGUUCUUAUUUAUGGUAUGAAUCUGUGUUAUAAUCUUGACAAAAAUGUUGUGUUAUUUUUAUCUCAAAAUUAAAAUUAAAGUACGGCUUUUAUCACAGCUUUGUGGUAUUUACUGUUAAAUGGUUGACAUUAUCAUGUUAGGCCCUGGCUUUGGUAAUUGAGGCAAGAAUUAUGAUUGAUUACUAAAAGCUCAUGAAUCUCUCUCUAAAAAAUUUAAUCCUUUUGUCGCGGAGGUUUCCCAAACAUUCAAUUCACAUACACUAUGACACCCUGACUUAGGACAAUUCGGGGUUCACAGAAACCUUUGUUCGUCUACGAUCAAACCUGCGACACGAAGCGCACAGUGGUUUGGACUGAUGGCUUCAACCACUCAGCUAUCUGUGCAGUCAUGUACAUUACAUGUACCCAAACCCAUGAUAUUUAUAAUAAUAUAGUAACAAUACUCACAAAAUAUCAUAAUUAACCGUAUAUUACGUCUGUAGCAGUCCAAUAAAGGCAGUCGUUUCAUAAGUUGACCCCGUCCCAGCACCUUAUACCAAUCUGUAACAAUUUAUUAGCGGCUGAUUGCAUGCGUCCACUUGAUUGCUAUUGGGCUUCCUUUAUUGACGGGAGAUGACUUGCCCCGACUCGCUGGCGCCUUCGUGCUCUGUACUGCGCAUGCGUCGGCCCUUCAACUAUGACAAUUAUAACUUGUUGACUUGCUUGAUCAUUGGGUCUUUGUCACACAUGUUUCUAUUUAACAGGCUACGCGGUGUAGAUAAAUUUCUUUCUGCUGCAUUCACUACGAAAUUAAAGGGAUUCAUUGAGGUAUUAUGUAUGCUAAAGCUAUCACGAAAAUCAUGAUCGGCAGACCGUUAAAUAUUUUACUAUUAAAUAAAUACAAUGAACGUAUAAUAAUACCCUUCACAAGGCCAACAAACAUGUUUUUAUUAGACACGCGUCACAUUUAACAUUUAUUCAACUGUAAUUCGCCCUUGACGUGCAAUUUAACUCAACAAGACACACGAAAUCAGCUAACAUCAAAAUCACACAACAACAUUUCGGCAAUUACAUUUCCUAAAUACAUAACGUUUACGUAUUCAAGCCAUAAGGGUGACAUUAGGUGUCUAAGAACCCUUGUGUAUACAGUUUAAAAGUUCCCAAACACAGCUCUCGGGUUUCCUUAUCUUUAUUCAAAGUAAUUUGCGGUUCCGACCUCAAACCACGUUCCAACGAAUCUUUGUUCUUGCAAGUCUGUAAUUUUAUCUAUAACUGCAAAUAGCUGUGACCUCUUUGGUGUUUUGUAAAAGAAUGCCUGAACUUGUUAGAAGUUUACACCCUUCUAUAUUCGGGCGUGGUUUACGAUAUUAUAUGUCUGAACUUACAUUAUUUGUUGGGUCUAGGUUAUGUAGGGUUAACAGCUUUCACCGAGGUUAGACCCCUCAAUACUAAUAUUAAACUUAAGGGUUGACCACCCGAGAACAAUUUAUUAUAUUUUGCUUCAAGUAACGUUGGAAACUUUGGCGAAGAUUAAACACUUAUUCGAUCAAUGUUAUUCUUUGUGUUUCCCGUUCAUACGAAGGUUCGAACAUAUGAAAACACUGAAAUUGAGUUACUAUAGGCUUUCUUUAUAAAGAGGCAAUUCAAAAGUUUUGAUUGAAAUACAAAGAAGAGCAAGACCUAAAAUGAUCUAGAUAAACCGGUCAAGGGCGUGUCAGACUUGCGGUACUUAAGGUUCCGGUACUUAAGGCAUGGCGACAGUAAAACUGUAGGUAUUCAACCUCUAAUUAAUUUGUAAAAUAAAGGCAACAGAAAUACUUAAUAUGUGAAAUAUUCAACGAAAUCUUAAAAUAAUGUAUUUAUUCUUUUAUUUGUACUGAAUUGUACUUCACGUAAGUGUAAGAGCAAAAUAAGAAAUAUCGUUCCACGGUAAUAUGUCUGUUUCUUUUAUUUAUUUUUAUUGCUUAAGGAAGAUCUUGCACCUUACUGAUAGCCGAAUACCGUCAUUACAGGCUUGUAAUGUUGUUGUACCCACUUUAUGAGGUACCCUUUUCAACCUUGGCUGUGCUACGAGUUCUUCAUAGCAGGAGGUCUCUUUGUGAAAGAGAUGGCGUAAUACACUGAGCGUAUUGGCGUCUCGCUUCCUCAUUCACGACGGUCUGGCUACAAGAUCUCAUGGUACAUUCACAGGUUAGAUUGCAAAUAACCGAUUGUCUUAAUAUAACAAAGAAAUUCAUUAAUCAUUCAACCGAUUUUCUGUGUUUGCCUUAGCAUUGAUGUUCAUUUAUAUUAUCAGAAGGCCCGUUUGUUUAUUUCGUUCAUCUUUGUUGAUUCCCUAAAGUAAUUUGGUAACUUGAUAAACAAUUUCAAAACAGACUUCUGAAUAAAUAGAGGUGCUCGUUUCUAUUUUAUUUGCAGUUAGUAUGGUAUUGUGAUUUUUAAGAGUCUGUGAAUAAACUUGCUUUUCAACCGACUUUAAUAAGGAGGAGGAUCUCAAUUUGUUACCUCACAACUUCGGACUGGAAAAACAGAUUUUGAUGAUUCUUAUUUUUAUGGCUUCAAUUUGGUUCCAUUAAAAUUCCUUCAAGUUUGGUUCAGCACAUUUUAUUUGAAGAAGUUUGUAUGUUUUUAUCGGUAUUAAAUUAAGUCUCCUAAUUAAAACUAGAUAAGCACUUUAUCAACCUUGCUUGAUUUUUACCCUGACAGUUAAAGUUAAAAAGGUCUGUUCUAUCUAUUUAUAUAUUAACCCAAGAUACCAUAACCUGCUUUAUUCCGUCUAAAUGUGUUCGUCUGCCGUGUGCUAACAACACAAAUAUUCCUGGCUACUGGGCAAGCAAAUGCAAAAAUAUUCUUUAGUACAUUUUCCCAGCAGUUUGUAAAAGGCGAUUGCAAAUAAGCGCAAAAGCACCUUGUCGAAAUCACUUGAAAGUCAAAUAUGAAGAGAAUGGACCGAAUUCGUGAUUGUAGUGUUGAAGACAAAAUUGUAGCUGCCCGCUGGUCACUAGGUCAGCGUGGGACUUAUUUCUUAGCGUUGAAAUACAAAGCAGUUUUGAUUCACUGUGUAUUUAGAAUACUGAAUCUGAAAUAGUACGUAUUAAAGAUUGUUGGUUUGUUAUUUGUUUAAUAACGGUUUUCUUUCGCGUAUUUAUCGGGGUAUGCCUAGUUUCGGAGUCAACCGGAGUCGUUAAUCAGCUGACACGGUGACGAGGACAGUUGCUAAGCUAAUUUUUGCUUUCUAUUUUUUUUAAUGUUUAAGACGUUUAUUUUAAGUUCGCGGGAAUCGAAUUCAUGCAUUGAAAGAGCAUACUGUCAUCAACAAACAGAAACCUCAACCUCAAGAUGUCGAAAAAUACGAGACCCUAAAAAUAUUGUAUUUCUAAAUAAAUAUUCUAUCAAAGUCUUCAAAGUAUAGAAUCUGAAAUUUAAUAUAAUCAGCCUAUUUCUAGUCUAGAACUGCCUAAAUAGGUAUAACCUAGUUUGUUUCGCCGUCUUCGAACCAUAUUUAAAUGUAAUGCCUCUUUAUUCUAAACAUGAAACAGUGAGAUGUAGAAAUCAUAAUUUAUGUAGGUAUUGGUUCUCCAUUUUUAUUUGGAAUCACAGUAUUCAUAUCAAAGACUGGCACGUGUUAGGGAUUUAUAUGAAAAGGUUUAUUUAUUACACAUUACCUACCAGAAAACUGACCG